rnacentral:lncRNA from 1 species
UAAAAUAACAAAGAUCACUAUAAUUCUGACGUAACCAUAAUGAUGUCGAUUUCACAAAAAACAAACGAAAACAGAUAUAAAUUUUAAAAUACUAAUCUACGAUAAACUACUGUAUGUUAAUGCGGUCCACAGUAAAACUUACCAUACUUUAGAUACUUGAAAGUUGAGGAAGUUUGUUGUUAACUCAAAAAGAUAUGACCCAUAAUAUAGUUUUAGUUUGUAGACAAGUUGUUGUAAUCUUACAUUUGCAUUUGUGGGGCUAAAAAAAGACCAAAAAGAUCUUUAAUCUCUUCUCUUUGAGCACACUUUGCCACUCUUUGCAGAAGCAUCAUCUACAAGCUCUCAUAAGCUAAAGGUACAAUUUUUUUUCCUCCCAUCACUUUGCAUCAUCCACUGAUAUUUUUCUUGCAAAAAUCUUCUGAACCCAUGUGACAUAUAUCACAUAUUUCAAUGUCCUAUUGUAGUUUGUGUUUUUACCCUUUCCCUCAAUUACAAUCUUUAUUCAAGUUGAAAUCUUAAAAAUCUACAUUAUCUUUAGACAAUUUUGGGAUUCUCACCAUAAUAAAUAACACAAAUUAACAAUCUUACUAAAUUUAUUUACUACAGUAUGUCCUUUUACUCUCUUUUAGCACAUCAGUUGCUUACAAAUCUCAUAAACAAAACGAUUUACUGAAAUUGAGCCUUUGUUACUUCGAUUCGUGUAAAAAAAAUAUAAAAUCUUGAGAAAUUGCUAUUACAUGUUUUGGUUUUGGAGUCAUAAGAAAUAGCAAAAUUAAGGGUUUUUUUUUUUUUUUUUUUUUU